GGGUCAGUAGGUUGGUCGUGCCACCGGUACGUACUGGUCUCACUGAUUGCUCCUUCCUGAAGAACCGUAAUGCCAUUAAUUUGGUGUUGCGGGGAAACAGGGCUGUUACUUUGAAAAAAUUAGAGUGUUUAAAGCAAGCUAACGCUUGAAUACAUUAGCAUGGAAUAAUGAAAUAGGACGUUCGAUCCUAUUUUGUUGGUUUCUAGGAUUGACGUA
rnacentral:rRNA from 1 species